GCCAGGCAUGGUGGUGUAUACCUGUAGUCCCAGUUAUUGGGAUGCUGAGACUGGACGAUAACUUGAGCGCAGGAGUUUGGGGAAAAUCUAGGAAAUACAGCAAGAUCCUAUCCCUU
rnacentral:sRNA from 1 species